AUUGAACGCUGGCGGCAGGCUUAACACAUGCAAGUCGAGCGGAGAUGAGGUGCUUGCACCUUAUCUUAGCGGCGGACGGGUGAGUAAUGCUUAGGAAUCUGCCUAUUAGUGGGGGACAACAUUCCGAAAGGGAUGCUAAUACCGCAUACGUCCUACGGGAGAAAGCAGGGGAUCUUCGGACCUCGCGCUAAUAGAUGAGCCUAAGUCGGAUUAGCUAGUUGGUGGGGUAAAGGCCUACCAAGGCGACGAUCUGUAGCGGGUCUGAGAGGAUGAUCCGCCACACUGGGACUGAGACACGGCCCAGACUCCUACGGGAGGCAGCAGUGGGGAAUAUUGGACAAUGGGGGGAACCCUGAUCCAGCCAUGCCGCGUGUGUGAAGAAGGCCUUAUGGUUGUGAAGCACUUUAAGCGAGGAGGAGGCUACUGAGACUAAUACUCUUGGAUAGUGGACGUUACUCGCAGAAUAAGCACCGGCUAACUCUGUGCCAGCCGCCGCCGUAACAC
rnacentral:rRNA from 1 species